rnacentral:rRNA from 1 species
GACGAACGCUGGCGGCGUGCCUAAUACAUGCAAGUAGAACGCUGAAGAGAGGAGCUUGCUCUUCUUGGAUGAGUUGCGAACGGGUGAGUAACGCGUAGGUAACCUGCCUGGUAGCGGGGGAUAACUAUUGGAAACGAUAGCUAAUACCGCAUAAAAUUGAUUAUUGCAUGAUAAUUAAUUGAAAGAUGCAACUGCAUCACUACCAGAUGGACCUGCGUUGUAUUAGCUAGUUGGUGAGGUAACGGCUCACCAAGGCGACGAUACAUAGCCGACCUGAGAGGGUGAUCGGCCACACUGGGACUGAGACACGGCCCAGACUCCUACGGGAGGCAGCAGUAGGGAAUCUUCGGCAAUGGGGGGAACCCUGACCGAGCAACGCCGCGUGAGUGAAGAAGGUUUUCGGAUCGUAAAGCUCUGUUGUAAGAGAAGAACGGGUGUGAGAGUGGAAAGUUCACGCUGUGACGGUAUCUUACCAGAAAGGGACGGCUAACUACGUG